CGGUGUUUAACUGGCGUGAUGUGGGACGUCCUACCGGUGGGCUUAGCCUCGCGAGGGGCGGCCCAACUAAUAUCCCGUCGCGGUGCUCUUUACUGAGUGUCGAGUCGGGCCGGUACGUUUACUUUGAACAAAUUAGAGUGCUUAAAGCAGGCCAUCCUCGCCUGAAUACUGCGUGCAUGGAAUAAUGGAAUAGGACCUCGGUUCUAUUUUGUUGGUUUUCGGAACCCCGAGGUAAUGAUUAAUAGGGACAGAUGGGGGCAUUCGUAUUGCGACGUUAGAGGUGAAAUUCUUGGAUCGUCGCAAGACGGACAGAAGCGAAAGCAUUUGCCAAAAAUGUUUUCAUUAAUCAAGAACGAAAGUUAGAGGUUCGAAGGCGAUCAGAUACCGCCCUAGUUCUAACCAUAAACGAUGCCAGCUAGCGAUCCGCCGAAGUUCCUCCGAUGACUCGGCGGGCAGCUUCCGGGAAACCAAAGCUUUUGGGUUCCGGGGGAAGUAUGGUUGCAAAGCUGAAACUUAAAGGAAUUGACGGAAGGGCACCACCAGGAGUGGAGCCUGCGGCUUAAUUUGACUCAACACGGGAAACCUCACCAGGCCCAGACACCGGAAGGAUUGACAGAUUGAUAGCUCUUUCUUGAUUCGGUGGGUGGUGGUGCAUGGCCGUUCUUAGUUGGUGGAGCGAUUUGUCUGGUUAAUUCCGAUAACGAACGAGACUCUAGCCUGCUAAAUAGGCGUACCUUAUGGUAUCGCGAAGGCCCCCGGCUUCGGCCGGUGGGUUUUUACUACCAACGUACAAACAAAUCUUCUUAGAGGGACAGGCGG
rnacentral:rRNA from 1 species